GCUCAGCGUAAAACUCACGCUACAGUGGACACCCAAGAAAUUAAAGAAUUCUUUUCAGGAAAGAACAAAUAGAAAAUUUAUCAGGAAAAUAGAAAGUCCUAUAUCCUCUCUGGCUAGCAACCUUCUGUUCUUCGUCUGUCUGAUUUUGAUUACAAUCACAUUUUCGUUUUCAUUUUUAUUUUUGUAUUUGUUUUUAUCAGCGAGAAAGAAAAGUAGAAUUUUGGAGUACACACGAAACAAAAUCGUAUGAUAUCUGAUCUCAGGGUGCGAUGGUGAUGGGCAGCUUCUUCUUUCCUGAUAUUGCUGCUGACGAUCCCCGGCCAUCUGAAGAAGAGCAAUGAGGUCCGGUCGAUUAUGCACAUUCGGCGUAGCAUAGGGCCUUCACCUCGGCAUCGAAAAUUCGUCUCUGCCUGCCUACUCGGAAUUGAAAUCGAUGAUGAGGAACUCGCUCGUUUUGUUGAGCGUGUUGAUAAGGAUAAUAAUGGUGUUAUAACAUUUGAAGAAUGGAGAGAUUUUCUUCUGCUUUUCCCUCAUGAGGCAACGAUCGAGAAUAUUUAUCAUUAUUUGGAAAGGGUAUGCCUUGUUGAUAUUGGGGAGCAAACUGUAAUCCCAGAGGUCAUCAGUAAGCAUGUCCAUGCAAGUAGAUAUUUGAUUGCUGGGGCAGUAGCAGGAGCAACAUCACGUACAGCUACUGCUCCUCUUGAUCGUUUAAAGGUUGUUUUGCAAGUACAAACAAAACAAGCUCGCAUUAUGCCAGCAAUAAGGGAUAUAUUUAGAGAAGGGGGAUUAUUGGGCUUUUUCCGUGGCAAUGGUUUAAAUGUCUUGAAAGUGGCUCCUGAAAGUGCCAUCAGGUUCUACACUUAAGAAAUGCUGAAAAAUUUUAUUGUCCAUGCUAAUGGUGAAGAAGAUCAGGCUAAUAUUGGCACUGCAACUCGCCUUGUUUCUGGUGGCUUAGCAGGUGCUGUGGCACAAACUGUUAUUUAUCCCAUGGAUCUUGUUAAAACACGAAUCCAAACUUAUGCUGGCGAAGGUGGAAGAAUUCCAAGUCUUGGAACUCUGUCUAGAGAAAUAUGGGUUCAGGAGGGAUCCCGGGCAUUUUAUAGGGGCCUUGUUCCAUCUCUACUUGGGAUUGUCCCUUAUGCUGGCAUUGAUCUUGCUGCUUAUGAAACCUUGAAAGAUAUGUCCAAGAAAUAUAUUCUGCAUGACGGUGAACCUGGUCCUCUUGUGCAAUUGGGAUGUGGGACUGUAUCAGGAGCUCUUGGUGCAACAUGUGUGUACCCAUUGCAGGUUGUCAGGACAAGAAUGCAAGCACACACUGCAUAUAAAGGAAUGGGCGACGUAUUCAGGAGAACCUUCCAACAUGAAGGGCUAAGGGGAUUCUACAAAGGAAUAUUUCCAAAUCUCCUUAAAGUAGUUCCAUCUGCAAGUAUUACUUAUAUGGUUUAUGAGUCCAUGAAAAAGAGUUUGGAUCUGGGAUAAAAGCAUUAUGCAGCUCCAAAUAAUUGACUAUAGAGUUGACACAUUGACAAUGGUAUCGUGAUAAAGAUGUUGAAUAAGGUUCCUAAUUGAAUAGAUCAAAUCAUUUUUUUUGAGUCAUAGCAUGAAUAAAAGUGCCAGUAUUAGAUUUCUUAAACGGGCAAAAUUGGCUUGUCCGUAAAUUUGGGGUGUCCCAAAACUUAUAUUAAGCCUUAUAUGCAUAUGCAAUGGGGCAUUGUUGUAUUGUAACACUGAAAGUAUAGUGUAACUUGAGCAUAUUGUAAUACCGCUGGUAUAAGUUAUAACCAUUUGCCCAUUUUAUGUAAAAAUUUUGUAACUGAUUAGGAUGGUUUUUUAA